rnacentral:lncRNA from 1 species
CCCGACCUCCGACGACUCCCCUCGUCGGUCGUCGCCAUCGUCGUCGCCGUCGUCGUCGUCCCCGCCCAGGCCAGCCCUUAGCCCGCGCACUGCCGCUGCCUGAAACCGGCCGCGCCGCUCUUUCCUGACCUCCGGCAACUCUCUGCGCGCCGUCACCACCGUCCUUGCGGGCCACUGCCACCACCCUAGCUCCCUGCAGCCGCCUCGCACUAG